rnacentral:rRNA from 1 species
CAGCAGCCGCGGGAAUACGUAGGGUGCAAGCGUUAUCCGGAAUUAUUGGGCGUAAAGAGCUCGUAGGCGGUUUGUCGCGUCUGCUGUGAAAACUGGAGGCUCAACCUCCAGCCUGCAGUGGGUACGGGCAGACUUGAGUGCAGAAGAGGAGAGUGGAAUUCCACGUGUAGCGGUGAAAUGCGUAGAGAUGUGGAGGAACACCAAUGGCGAAGGCGACUCUCUGGUCUGUAACUGACGCUGAGGAGCGAAAGCGUGGGGAGCGAACAGGAUUAGAUACCCCCGUAGUCCCUGUCUCUUAUAA